ensembl:lncRNA
UUUAUUUUUUGUCAAUAUCAUUUUAAACGAACAUUUGACUCGUUAAUUUACCUGUUAGCUACUGUUACAAGCUGAAAUCAAUACCUACAGGCUAUCAUGGCUUUUAACUGUGGAAAAAAAUAACUAAUCUGAACUAAAAACAUUUUUUUUCUGAUCCAAGGAAGUUAGUGUUAUUGCAUUUCCAUUGCAAGAAUAGCAUGCAUGUCAGCAUCUUUAUUAAAGUGUAUUUGUGUGAAUCUCUCUCAUAAAUACACACACAGGAACAUUUUAGCCAAGAAUUACUGCUGACCGUUAUGUAUUUGUGUUUUACAGGAGGAUCUGGUGGCCGCAAGGAAAACCCUAUUUGGCAAGCAAAACUUUUUCUCCUUCCAGGGCCAGAUAAUGGUUUUCUGCCCCCCACAAUAGAACUUGAGGAACUGGCUAAACAUAGAUUAGGAAAACCUGUGCACGAGUCAACGGAGGCCGGACGCACAAACUCAAGGAUUGGGUUAAACUGGAGUUUAUCUGUAUUAAACAACUUUGUUUGCCAAAGCUACCCUCGCAUCAGUUUAAAUUUAAUAGGCUUUGAAUUGGCAAGGACAGGCAAAGGACGCAAGAUCCAGAAAUUGCAAGUUAGUUCUGUGAAGGAACUAAAAGCAGUUGUUGGCAAAAGCAGGCUUUACAUCGUGCCACGAGCCACUGUCUUCAAGGUAACAUCACCACCCUCUGCCAUGUCCCAGAAUUCAUUCCAACCACUCGCAGCUCCAGCAGUAGAUGAGACCUCACAAGUGGUUUCAGAUCAGGUGGCAUCCACAUCCUCUGCCAUAUCCAUGAAUUCAUUCCCACCACUCUCAAUUGCUCCGGUACAAGAUGAGACCACGCCUGUGGCUGAGAGUACCCAAGCUCAAAGUGUGGUUGCAAAUCAGGCUCUUCAAGAAUGGCGAGCAAUACGUGCCCAGCAAGACCAGGAGUAUAAUACAAGUUUGUUGGUGGAUCAGGAGAAGGAGAGGAAGAAACUAGUCUAUCAGGCUUGUGAGGAAAGAUGUCAAAAGGCUAUUGAGGCAAGACGUCAGCGAAUGUCUGCAUGUGAGGAACCCUCAGAUGGGGUGUUGAUCAAAUUUAAAUAUCCAAAUGGACACACCUAUAUGAGGAAAUUCCGUUUGUCGGAGCCAAUCCAGAUCUUGUUUGACUUUGUGGGACAAGAUAAUAUUGCCAGUGAAAUCUUUGUGGUGCAAGAAGCUGCAUCAUCAAGAUCAGUUGAGAGCAGUUGCUCCGGGUCAAUAAUGGAUCAUGGCAUAAAAGCAUCCUCAGCUCUAUAUGUGCUUUGGUUUUCAAAUAAGGAUGUACAGGUAAAUGUGUUGCAUUUUUAUUUCUUGACUCAAAUGAAAAUGGAAUGUGUUUUGGUUUGUGCAAGCUCAUGUUUUAUGCAUGUUUGUCUUCAGGAAAUUCUCUCAGAUCAACAAAAUGAUGGAGCUUAUGCCCUACACCAUACAUCUCAUGGUCAGUCAUAACUGUCUGAGACCUCCACCCAGCCAAGUCUCUCUGUGCCCUCAUUCCAGCCACCGCUGCCUGAGCCCUCCACCCGCUCACCGCUGCCUGAGCCCUCCACCCAGCCACCGCUCACUCUGUUCUCACAACCACAAGAAAUCCUGACUCUUUAUGAUGAACCAUCACUCUCUCCUUCAUCUGCCCAAGAACCAAUCAUUAUUCUUGAUGAACAAGAUGAGUCGUUUUCACAAAAUCAGUCUCCUGUAUCAACACAUCACCUCAGAGGACCUGUGGAUGAGUGUGUUUUUCUCAUUAACUUGAUUUUAUAUUUUUCUAGUGUAUGUAGAUGUUUCAUUUUCUGUAUCCUAUUACAUUUAAUCAGGUGGUUAACUUAAAAUGCAUGAACUUCUUUGUUUGCAGGAUUGAUCUACAGACCAUAUUGAAAAAAAUGGUCAGCAAAGUUGAUGGAAGAUUCUGUCCAACAAGCAACCAAAUAAAUGUGUGCAGGGAUAAUGUUUUACUGUGUAG